GAUGAACGCUGGCGGCGUGCCUAAUACAUGCAAGUCGAGCGAACAGACGAGGAGCUUGCUCCUCUGACGUUAGCGGCGGACGGGUGAGUAACACGUGGAUAACCUACCUAUAAGACUGGGAUAACUUCGGGAAACCGGAGCUAAUACCGGAUAAUAUAUUGAACCGCAUGGUUCAAUAGUGAAAGACGGUUUUGCUGUCACUUAUAGAUGGAUCCGCGCCGCAUUAGCUAGUUGGUAAGGUAACGGCUUACCAAGGCAACGAUGCGUAGCCGACCUGAGAGGGUGAUCGGCCACCCUGGAACUGAGACACGGUCCAGACUCCUACGGGAGGCAGCAGUAGGGAAUCUUCCGCAAUGGGCGAAAGCCUGACGGAGCAACGCCGCGUGAGUGAUGAAGUUCUUCGGAUCGUAAAACUCUGUUAUUAGGGAAGAACAAAUGUGUAAGUAACUAUGCACGUCUUGACGGUACCUAAUCAGAAAGCCACGGCUAACUACGUG
rnacentral:rRNA from 1 species